CCUACGGGAGGCAGCAGUAAGGAAUCUUGCGCAAUGGGCGAAAGCCUGACGCAGCGACGCCGCGUGGGCGAUGAAGGCCUUCGGGUUGUAAAGCCCUUUUCUGGGGGACGAGGAAGGACGGUACCCCAGGAAUAAGUCACGGCUAACUCCGUGCCAGCAGCCGCGGUAAUACGGAGGGUGCAAGCGUUGUUCGGAAUUAUUGGGCGUAAAGCGCGUGUAGGCGGCCCGAUAAGUCUGGUGUGAAAGCCCUUGGCUCAACCAAGGAAGUGCACCUGAAACUGUCGGGCUAGAGUACUGGAGAGGAGAGUAAAAUUCCCAGUGUAGAGGUGAAAUUCGUAGAUAUUGGGAGGAACACCGGUGGCGAGGGCGGCUCUCUGGACCGAUACUGACGCUGAGGCGCGAAAGCGUGGGGAGCAAACAGGAUUAGAUACCCCUGUAGU
rnacentral:rRNA from 1 species